ensembl:processed_transcript Gm14963 predicted gene 14963
GGCUGCGGUGCCUUGGCAACCGCACCUGUUUUGCUCCGCCCCUCGAGGGAUGGCUCGUGGAAGUGUGGCGGUCGCGGGUGCCAGAGUCUGGCGUCGAGAUGUACUAAGUCUGAGCACCAUCUAGCACGUGUGGGCUUCCGGACACCCCCAAGUACUUCAGCUGCGCUCCCCAACUGCAGUGUUUCCGCUGGCUAGGAACUCCCAAAAGCAUCGGGAGCCUCACCCUUUGGUCUUUUAGCGACUCUGGAGAGGGACAGGACAGCGGGAAUAGGGAAAGCCGAGGGAGUACAGGACACCGGGAAGAGGAAUAUCGAGACUCUUCCCUGCCGGAGAUGUGAGGUGGCUCAUGACAGUCCUUGCUGUGGUCCUAACAGAACCUUCCUCUGACAGGAUCGUCUUUAUCCUGCUCUGAAGUACAGGCAGUGGUGACAUCUGAGAGAGAGGACACUGCAACCUUCCACCAAGGCCACGUGUGUCCAUCUCUUGGCUCACUCCUAGGACGUGUUGGGACAUCCCAAAGACGGGCGCAGAGGGACCCUGCCUAGAGACAAAGUCGGGCUGAGGUCUGCUUAUUUCUUCUGAGUCCUGACUCCUCUAUCUACAACCAGCCCCAGAAUCACUUUCUUGCCCUUUUGGUCCUUGAGGCCGGUGGGUUAGCAUUGCCAAGUGUUUCCACGAUCCCUGAGCCUUGGGGUACACAGCCCACCUAGGACUGAACACACUGUGGAUUCUCCCUGACUGUUAGAAGCCACACCUUUCUUUCCAUAAGGCCAUUGUCUCUUCAGGCUGCUGGGCCACAUUAGCUCUUUUGUUUAUACAGUGGAUUGAUUUUAUUUUCUGACAGCAUCUUACUAGGUACCCCUGGCUGGCCUAAAACACUAAGAAGACCAGGCUGGUCUUGAACUCACAGAUCAGCCUGCCUCUGUCUCCUAAGUUCUCAGACUAAAGAAGGCACGUGCCACCACAUCUGGCUCUAUUUUUUAAUUUGUGAAAGAGGAGCUUACUCCGUAGCUUCACUGGCCCAGAGUCCACAGUGAUGGUCCUGCCUCUGCCUCCUGAACUGUGGAAUUACAAGUAUGCAGCACCACACCCAACUGGUUUUGAAGUCUUUCCAUUCAGUUCUGCAAGGUAGCCCAAGCUUGCCUUGAAUUUCUCUGCCUGGGCUCCCAGGAUACUGGGGUUACAAACAGGAGUGGCCGAGAGUGGCGUCUGUGAACUUCCACAGAUUUCUCUAGCUGGACAGAGAAGGAAGUCAGAAAUUCAAAGCAGGAAAAAGAGACACUGUGUGCCAGUGACUCAGGCCUAGGAGCCCAGCUACCUGGGAGACUGACGCAAAAAGGCCACAAAUUCAAGGUCAGCCAGCCUGGGCAGCCUGUCUCAAACCGAAAGUAAGGCUGGCUCAGUGGGGAAAGGCACUUGCUGUGCAAACCUGAGGACUUAUGUUCAAGCCCAGAUCCAUUGGUAGAAGGAGAGGAUUGACUCUUAAAAGCUGUCCUCUAGCAGGGCAGUGGUGGCGCACGCCUUUAAUCCCAGAACUUGGGGGGCAAAAACUGGUGGAUUUCUGAGUUUGAGGCCAGCCUGAUUUACAGAGUGAGUUCCAGGACAGCCAGGGCUAUACAGAGAAACCUUAUCUUGAAAAAACAAACAAACAAACAAACAAACAAAAAGCUGUCCUCUAACAGCUGGCACACACACAACCCCGCCUCCCCCCCCCCACACACACUCACACACACUCUCACAGUAAUAGUAACCAGUGAAUAAAAACUAAAGGGCUGAAGAGACAGCUCAGAGGUAAAGAACAUUUUUUACUCUUGCAGAGGAGCUGAGUUCUGUCGCCAGCACCCACAUGGCAAGUCAGAACCAUCUAUAACUCCAUUUUCCAGGGUAUGUGACACCCUCUCUGGCUUCCUGGUACCCAGGGUAUGCAGACAACAUACAUGCACACAAAACCCAUACAUAUAAAAUAUUUUUUGUUUGUUUGUUUUUGUUUGUUUGUUUGUUUGUUUUGGUUUUUCGAGACAGGGUUUCUCUGUGUAGCCCUGGCUGUCCUGGCACUCACUUUGUAGACCAGGCUGGCCUCGAACUCAGAAAUCUGCCUGCCUCUGCCUCCCGAGUGCUGGGAUUAAAGGAGUGCGCCACCACGCCCGGCUUAUAUAAAAUAUUUUUUUAGAAAAUUAAAAGUAAGUAAAAGAUAAAGAGUGGGUAGCUGUGUAGCUGAGUGGCCAUCUGGUAUGCAGAAGGCCUCAAGUUCAACCCCUACUGCUGCAAGCUGGCCGGGGCACUCAGUGACUUCUAGAAGCCGACUGUGAAUUGAGAACUAGACUUGUGAAUUGAGAACAGGGUUGCAUCAGUGGGGCGGACCUACAUUUGGCAACUUUGUGGUUGUGUAAGGGUAUCAUAUUUUCUUAGGAGAUACAUGUUGAAAAUUUUCAUGGUGAAGGGUCAUGACCUGUAUGCUGGUCUCUAGUAGUUCGGGAAAAGUGUGCGUGAGGGAGAGGGGAAGCAGAUGUUACCCUAGAAUGCCAGCUGUCCACGAAUCCAAAUAAAGGGUCCAUGGU